UUCUAAUAAACACACAAUCAUCACGUCAACAGUGAGGGUCUGCACGUCCACAUGGUCUUCAGGUGUCCAGCCUGAGCACCACCCCCUGCUCAAGCUAUAGGAGGACGCCCGGGCUUCAUAUAUAACGAGGAGGAACAUCGCGUGUUUUCAGGUUUCUGGCACUUUCCCCGAAUUACCAGGUUUACUCUUUGGCAUUACACAACCCUCGGGAGGUUCAAAGACAGCAGCGAUGAUCAUCAGGCUCGGCAGACUGACUCCUGGAUACUUCCGUCUCCUGCAGAGGCAGGUAGCAGGUGAGGUUCAGGCCCCAACGCACGACCGUUCUGUCAACCAGAUCGCCAUGAUGCUGGCCAUCAUGGGCCUCAGCCUGUCGUAUUACAGUGCCAAACAAAUGACAGAGAAGGUUCGCCACGAACCCGCCCCGUGAAGAUGUGCGAAUGCGCUCCGGAUUGAUGGCAUCCAGAAAAGACGAAGCCAAACUGAAGAUGUUCAGAUGUUGAAGAUUCAGACUCUACCUUUCUGUAACCUCUAGGGAUCACACACCACGGGACUUCCGCUGAGGGGUUCUUUUGCUUUAGUUUAACUCUCAAUGGAUCUUGAAGGGGUUGUGGCCUGUGUUUUAAUAGUUAACUUGAUACAUGCAUCAGAGAGUCAGUCAGUUCAAAACCUGAGCUCCACAUUGCAUCUGAAGCUCCACUAUGAGCCAUAAUGUGUUUUAAAAAGGGAAGGACCUCUGUGUUUGAGAUGUACCAAGCAACUAUUGAAAGCAGGUCCAAUGCACAAGAGUGAAAUGCUCAGAUUUUCCCCCAAAAGAUGCUGUUAAAGAACAACUGAGACUUGAGGACUUAUAAUGGAGGCGCUGCUCUAUAAUACUACACUUGGUGUCAGACACUUUCUUUUCAUUAGAACUUAAGAAAAUAUCUUCUCAUUGGUCCUCAAACACUUUAGAUGUUAAUGCCGACUUUGUGUGCAAUUGCAUGAGUUUGAAACCGUUUUGUUAUUAGUGCAACCAAUCUGUAAUGUUAUUUCUAAUGCUUUUUUAUGAUAAUGUGAUUUAAGAUGAAUGUACUGUAUGUUAUAUUUUUAAGACACGAUGAUCAAAUAAAGCUGUGAAUAUUUUGCACACGA